GCCAGCAGCCAUUUUACCCUGCAGCUCACAACUGGCAGCCCACUGAAGCUAAACUGAUGUGAGACUGGUCAGUACCUGGAUGGGAGACCUCCUAGGAAAAACUACGGUUGCUGCUGGAA
rnacentral:rRNA from 1 species